UGAAGUUCCCAACACACAGCACCGUAUGUGAGAUGAGUAUAUAUAUAUGUUGUACCAAAUUUUCAGAAAAGUCAAGCAAACAUAACACAUCGAAGUCUCGAAUACACGACAUUGAUAACAACCGAAGAACAAAUCAGCCAAUAAAACUACAAAUGGAAUUGUGCAUCCAGUUAUUGAUUGACUAAUCAGUAAUUAAUUCGACAAGUAAGUGUUCAGAAAUGACUUGAUUCCACUUCAUGAGGGUGAUUGAUGAAUUGAACUUGAAAAGUCGACUGAAGAUGACUCAGGCCAGCACGAAAUGUGAUCACUUAUUAGCUUAACUUGAGCUGCAAAAAACCUCGGCCCUGCAUAUAAAAGUAUGCUUCGUUGGUUGAAACUUGAAAGUAAACGAAACAGUCUCAACCCUUUAUUCCGGUCCAUUUCGAUUAUCAUUGGGCCAAAAAUGUUUCUUUACGGGCUUUUAAAAAUAAGAUAAUCUGAACUGUGUCUGGCAUUUAAAGGCCACCACCGACAAAUUCAAAAGGUCGCCGACGGCUUAGAAAUAAUAAUAGGUUGCUACAAAAGAAAAAAAAAAGAAAAAAGGAAAUUAUGAUAUUAUAUGUUUGGAGAAAUAAAAAUCAGCAAAUGGUAGACAAGCGGCAGUGAGUACAGGUGACUUUAUAAUGUCAAGUACAAACAGUACAAGUUUUUGAUAGUGGACACUAAAAUUGAUUACAUAUCAAACUAAAAUAUCGAAGACUUGAGUUCAAGUGUCAGACUAUAUAACUGUAUAAUUUUGUUAACUCGGCUCAUGAUUACCAAAAUAAAGUCCACAAUAAUAGUACCAAAAUGGUGAGAUUAGGCGACACAAAAAUUGGAAAAUGAGUCUAAAUGACGAAAGAAAGAGAAUAGUAUAUAAUAAGCACAAGUCCAUCGGACCUAGAGAGGAAGAAGAAAGGCCACGUGUGCAAGGAGCUCCAUGAGAAGGUUCCAACGGAGAACGAACGAGAUCCACCUUCCACCGUCAUCAACACACUCACAGUUGUUCUUCUUUCUAUCAAACAAAAGUCAAAUAAUCACCCCUUCAUCGAGAGAGAGAGAGAGACCCAUUACUACAUUUACAUAUAUUCAUUACUCAUGUCUUCUCCACCGUCGGAUCACGGAUCCUAGCUGUAAUCAAGGGGGCAGAUUUUAAUGAAGUGGGC
rnacentral:lncRNA from 1 species